rnacentral:rRNA from 1 species
UGAACGCUGGCGGCGUGCCUAAUACAUGCAAGUCGAGCGAACAGAUGAGGAGCUUGCUCCUCUGACGUUAGCGGCGGACGGGUGAGUAACACGUGGAUAACCUACCUAUAAGACUGGGAUAACUUCGGGAAACCGGAGCUAAUACCGGAUAAUAUAUUGAACCGCAUGGUUCAAUAGUGAAAGACGGUUUUGCUGUCACUUAUAGAUGGAUCCGCGCCGCAUUAGCUAGUUGGUAAGGUAACGGCUUACCAAGGCAACGAUGCGUAGCCGACCUGAGAGGGUGAUCGGCCACACUGGAACUGAGACACGGUCCAGACUCCUACGGGAGGCAGCAGUAGGGAAUCUUCCGAAAUGGGCGAAAGCCUGACGGAGAAACGCCGCGUGAGUGAUGAAGGUCUUCGGAUCGUAAAACUCUGUUAUUAGGGAAGAACAAAUGUGUAAGUAACUAUGCACGUCUUGACGGUACCUAAUCAGAAAGCCACGGCUAACUACGUG